rnacentral:rRNA from 1 species
AUUGAACGCUGGCGGCAGGCUUAACACAUGCAAGUCGAGCGGGGGAAGGUAGCUUGCUACCGGACCUAGCGGCGGACGGGUGAGUAAUGCUUAGGAAUCUGCCUAUUAGUGGGGGACAACAUCUCGAAAGGGAUGCUAAUACCGCAUACGUCCUAUGGGAGAAAGCAGGGGAUCUUCGGACCUUGCGCUAAUAGAUGAGCCUAAGUCGGAUUAGCUAGUUGGUGGGGUAAAGGCCUACCAAGGCGACGAUCUGUAGCGGGUCUGAGAGGAUGAUCCGCCACACCGGGACUGAGACACGGCCCAGACUCCUACGGGAGGCAGCAGUGGGGAAUAUUGGACAAUGGGGGGAACCCUGAUCCAGCCAUGCCGCGUGUGUGGAGAAGGCCUUAUGGUUGUAAAGCACUUUAAGCGAGGAGGAGGCUACUUUAGUUAAUACCUAGAGAUAGUGGACGUUACUCGCAGAAUAAGCACCGGCUAACUCUGUGCCAGCCGCCGCCGUAA